rnacentral:rRNA from 1 species
GCGGCAGCUACCAUGCAGUCGAGCGGUAACAGGAGAAGCUUGCUUUCUUGCUGACGAGCGGCGGACGGGUGAGUAAUGUAUGGGGAUCUGCCCGAUAGAGGGGGAUAACUACUGGAAACGGUGGCUAAUACCGCAUGACGUCUACGGACCAAAGCAGGGGCUCUUCGGACCUUGCGCUAUCGGAUGAACCCAUAUGGGAUUAGCUAGUAGGUGGGGUAAAGGCUCACCUAGGCGACGAUCUCUAGCUGGUCUGAGAGGAUGAUCAGCCACACUGAGACUGAGACACGGCCCAGACUCCUACGGGAGGCAGCAGUGGGGAAUAUUGCACAAUGGGCGCAAGCCUGAUGCAGCCAUGCCGCGUGUAUGAAGAAGGCCUUAGGGUUGUAAAGUACUUUCAGCGGGGAGGAAGGUGUUAAGAUUAAUACUCUUAGCAAUUGACGUUACCCGCAGAAGAAGCACCGGCUAACUCCGUGCCAGCAGCCGCGGUAAUACGGAGGGUGCAAGCGUUAAUCGGAAUUACUGGGCGUAAAGCGCACGCAGGCGGUCAAUUAAGUCAGAUGUGAAAGCCCCGAGCUUAACUUGGGAAUUGCAUCUGAAACUGGUUGGCUAGAGUCUUGUAGAGGGGGGGUAGAAUUCCACGUGUAGCGGUGAAAUGCGUAGAGAUGUGGAGGAAUACCGGGUGGCGAAAGGCGGCCCCCUGGACAAAGACUGACGCUCAGUGCGAAAGCGUGGGGAGCAAACAGAUUAGAUACCCUGUAGUCCCCGCUGUAAACGAUGUCGAUUUAGAGGUUGGUGGUCUUGAACCGUGGCUUCUGGGAGGCUAACG